rfam:Erinaceus europaeus unplaced genomic scaffold scaffold01204, whole genome shotgun sequence
GGGUGUCAGUUCCUUGAGUUCUGGCUUCUGUAAUUGCUUCUCCACUGGAAUGGGCAUUCACAGGUUGAUCCAUAGCCCAAACCGGUUUCUAUCUUUUUCUAAUGGGGUAGGCCUCUGGAGAAGUGAGGUUCCAGGACAAAUUGGUCAAAGAGAACAGCCUUCCCCAAAUAGAGACAGACCAGUCUUUAGUCGAGGGUAUAGGAUUAGCUGUACUCCCCUGCUAGAACCUCCAAACAAGCUAUCAGAGAUGAGUAAGUUAAAUUAAGAAUGGAGAUCUUUUGGAGUUAAGAUAUAUGAUUUUCUAUUACCAAAA